rnacentral:tRNA from 1 species
UUUGUCUUGGUGUAAGGAGCACACAAAUUUUUGGUGUUUGGGGUAGAUAGAU